GGGUUGAGGUUGAUACAUAGCUUGCAUGGCAUGCAAGAGGUCGUGGGUUCGAUUCCCUUCGCCUCCA
rnacentral:tRNA from 1 species